GUGUGGCAGAGACCGUCGAGGGCGUCAUCGCGGAGGGAGCGUCGGUGAGCGGGCCGGCGGAGAAGCCAUCGGGGACGGCGACACCGCGGUGGCCGGGGACCUCGCCGGCGGCGCGGGUAGCGGGGCCAUCCUGGGCGCCGGCBAUGGGGCCCUGCGCGGCUGCGGCGACGGCAAGAAGUGCGAGGAUGGCGGCGACCACGGCGAAGCGAGCCAUCUGGUUGCUGUCGAUGGAGAAAGCCUCGCUCGAGAAGAUUCAGAGAGGUGACGGCGGUGGGCGAAUGCUUAGCAGAGGAGACGACGGUGAGCUGCGAGUUGUGAAUUGGGAUCGACGGAGGAGGCGCGGAUUUAUAGCGGGAAGGAGUUUUUUCUAAACGUCGGUUGAGGUGGG
rnacentral:lncRNA from 1 species